CCUACGGGCGGCAGCAGUGGGGAAUAUUGGACAAUGGGCGAAAGCCUGAUCCAGCCAUGCCGCGUGUGUGAAGAAGGCCUUCGGGUUGUAAAGCACUUUCAGUGGGGAAGAAAGCCUUGGGGCUAAUACCCUCGAGGAAGGACAUCACCCACAGAAGAAGCACCGGCUAACUCCGUGCCAGCAGCCGCGGUAAUACGGAGGGUGCGAGCGUUAAUCGGAAUUACUGGGCGUAAAGCGCGCGUAGGCGGUCUGAUAAGCCGGUUGUGAAAGCCCCGGGCUCAACCUGGGAACGGCAUCCGGAACUGUCAGGCUAGAGUGCAGGAGAGGAAGGUAGAAUUCCCGGUGUAGCGGUGAAGUGCGUAGAGAUCGGGAGGAAUACCAGUGGCGAAGGCGGCCUUCUGGACUGACACUGACGCUGAGGUGCGAAAGCGUGGGUAGCAAACAGGAUUAGAUACCCCAGUAGUC
rnacentral:rRNA from 1 species